GGCGGAGCAUCUUACCGGCGGGAGGGGAUGGAUCCCGCCUAGCAACUCCACAUCAGAUCGCCGCCGUUCUUGGACUCCAACCGACGCCGCCGUUCUUGGAGUUCAACCGCCGCCGCCGUCUACUGCGGUUCCUCUCCGAACACUUCCCAUUGUCUGAAGCUUGGUGUUGAAAGCCUGAAGGUUUGUCUGCAGAGGAACUGAUAUGUGAAGCUUUAUGAGACACUUGCGGAUCUAUUUGGUUUCAUUUAUAUAUCUUGCAGUGUGCAUCUUUAUUUAGAACACUUAUAUUUACUGAAUGACCUGACGUGAGCAUCAUGUAAUGAUUUGAAUUUACCCUGCUUAAUUCUAGUGUAUAAACAUGUCUAGUUGUUUUUGGUAUCCUUGCAAGUCGUGUCUCAAUUCCAUUGUGUAUGAAUGGAUUUA